rnacentral:rRNA from 1 species
CAUUCACGGAGAGUUUGAUCCUGGCUCAGGACGAACGCUGGCGGCGUGCUUAACACAUGCAAGUCGAACGAUGAACCACCUUCGGGUGGGG